CCCAUUCAUCCAUCCCAGUAAAAAUCGUCAAAACCCUCUUCAAAACCCCUUCAGUCCCCUCCGCUCGCGCUCAGAGAGGACAAAACUAUGUCGUAUAUACCUUCUUAUUUCCUAGUUAAUUUUUGAGCGACUUCAGCAAUUUCCGGAACAAUAAACUUUUGCAGUAAAAUAGAUUCGACUAAUCUUUUAUCUGCACUAUUAAUUCCUUUUUUUUAUUUUGCUUGCAAUAGAAUUUUCUUUUUCAUACUUUUCCAAGUAAAUGGCAACGAGGGUUGUUCUCAGAUUGAUCAAAGAAGCUGUUUCCAGCAAUGGUAGAAGCAAGCCAAACUUUGAUUUUGCUAAGCGACGUCGUUUCUGCACCUCCACUCCUCCUCCACCUCCACCACCACCGCCGGCUCGUAAAAUCCCUUAUUCUUCCAAAAAAGGGAGAUUAUUUACUGGAGCUACUAUUGCUCUACUUAUUGGUGGAGGUGCCUAUGCGAGUACAGUGGACGAAGCUACUUUCUGGUACUAAAUUUCUGUUUCCUAAAGUUGACUCAAAACUUUUCAGUAAAUGAGUGCAUGAAUAAUUUCAGUGAAGUGCUCAAAGACAAUGACCUUUUAUUCCUGAGAAUAGGUUGCUGGUACUUUGUUUAUGUGAUUGUAGUUCAUUAAUAGGUCUGAUGCAGUAGUAUUAGCGGCUAUUACGUUAAUAAAUGCGGGAGCAUGCUGGAUACUUUAGAAGUACGAGUUCACUUCUUCAGUCUUCUUAGAAGAUUGUAGUAUUUGGAAAUUGGUUAGGGAUUCAGUUUUGAAAAGUUUGCAAGCUAUUACUAAUCUUGUUUUGGAUCAAAGCCCACAAAUGUGGUGAAGUUAUUAUGUCACUAUCUAGAUAAUGCUUGUAACAUAAUUGGCUCUAUGUAGUAUGGCAUGUGACACGUGUCCAAAAGCAGUUUUCUGAUGGCAUCUUUGUAUGCCCCUAGAAUUGAGUUAUUUUAUGCAAUUACUCAUUUUGUCUGAAUUUAAUCUCUUUGGGGUGCCAUUUUGGCCAAAUUGAAGUAAGACCAAUGGUAUGCCAAGUGCUAAUAAAAAGUAUAAAUCAAUAGAUUUUUGGCUUUUCUAGGAAAUCCAAGCUGAAAGCAUUUAGUUACUAUUUCGAGUGUUGGCACUUUGUAGUUUGUUAGACUUUAUUUAUGGUAGGACCUCGAGAAAGAGUUUUUCUGCAUGGUACUGUGGUUCCAAGAACAGGCUAGAUCUUUCAACUUUAAGGGAAUUAGUGUAAGAAUAUUUCAACUUUCCUUGUAAAGGUUUGGAUUGUGAAGAAGGAAUGCAUCAAAAUUCAUGGUUUUAACUUCCAACACCAAGUGUGGCAGUUGGCAUCCAUCUGGUGUCACUUGUCACUGCCAAACAUAAUAAGACAUAACGGUGUCCGAUAUGCUAUUUUAAUUGAACCUCUCCAUAUGGUGUUUUUCUUCUAUCCAUAUAUAAAAAAGUCAGAGCAGUUUUUAUAAGGACAUGAUAACUUCAUUAGUUCCCAGAAAUGGCUUUCUUGCACCACCAACAUGUAGCUUCAACUGCAUAUUCAUUCGCGAGAAGUCCUUUCGCUUGUAGCAUAUGCAUGAUGAUUCAAGUGAUUGUAAGCUAGUUUCCCCAUACUCUUGUCGGGUUUUGCCAUUGCCCAUAUAUGCUAUUGCUUCGGUGUUGGAAAUGAGAGAUGGGAAGGAUGCAGGUGUGAAAGGGUGCUCUUUUCGCUUGAUGGUUCAUUGUGAAGAGGAGAUAGACCUUGAUUCUUAUAGUUCAGGUUGUAAGAUUUGAUGCUUUAUUGAUGUCAAUUAACCUGCGGCUGCUUCAUUCAGGUAUAAAACGGAAAUGAUAUCAGUUUUCAAUGAUCCUUCUAAUUCUCAUGAUUCUUUUCACUCUAAGGAGCAUAAAGAGAACAAAAGAGAAAGGAAAAUGAAGUUAGACUUAUUAACUUAGGUAUUAAUUAAACAAUCAUUGUAUUAAUGCAUUUCUCAUAGACUUUUGAGAUCUACUGAAAUCCUCUUCCCCUUUCUGUAUCAAGAGUCAAAGGAAGAGACAAAGGGGCAAUUACAGAUUAUCUUUAGCUGAAAGCAUGUGAAAUAUAUCCAAUUUGAGUAGUAAACUAAAGAGAUUUUUUCUGGUACUUAUGUCAUCUGACCCAGACAAAGGAAUGAAGGCCUACUUGUGGAUCAACAGUCUUUUCAGAAAUUCUUUUGUGCUUUUACUAUACAUAUCAUUGUAAGACAAAUCAUCUUGUUAUGGUUGACUGUGGAAUAGUUGGAGCUAAUAUAAAAUCAUUAACAUCAAAUUUGGGCUCAUUUCUAAUUUUCUGUUUUAGUUUUACUUUAGGCAUCUCCGGGUUUGAAUCUUCUGGAGCCUUUCGUCGAGAUGGCUUCAAUAGGUUUGAACCUAGAAUCUUAUGUAGGGGUGGGGCAAAAAUACCCGUUGACCUGAAAAUCCGAGCAAUCCGAUCCGUCCCGCACUGAAAAUUAGGAUAUCCGAUCCGAUUUCUAUUAGCGGAGCAGAUGAGGGUCGGGUACCCGUAAAAUUCGGAUACGGAUAUGGGUUACAAAAAUAAAAACCUGCAGGUACCCGACCUGGGGGUAUAUUAUAUAAAUAUUAAAAAAUAUAGGGGCAAUUUUAUAAUUUCCUUAAAUUAUUAACCCUAAAGACCUAAAUAUUAUCGACGUUCAGCUUUCACUUUUGAAGUUUCUCUCUAUCUUCAGUCUUCAGCCGAAUAUCUCCUCUUCUUCUCUUCAAUUUUCACCACAACAAUUCCAAAUUUCUCUUCAAUUUUCACCACUUCAUGCUACAAAUAUACGAUUGUCUUAGAAUCAUGAGAGAAUCACAACCCAUUUCUGAUUUGCUGGUGCUCCUCAAAGCAAGCCUCAAGCAGAAGCUGCAGAACGCCGGAACGUCAAUGCAAACUCUCAACCUUUGGCUGGCUUUUCUCUGCAACAAAACUUGUAAAUCCAUUUUUUGCCUUCCUGGACCCAGAGGUUGCCCACAGACUAGCUGUCUCGGCCGCGGCUCGUGGAUGGGUUCCAAGGGAGAAAAGGCCAGAUCCAUCCAUAUUGGGCCAAGAAGUGUGGGGGAAGCGAUUCUCCAAUCCUAUUGGUCUCUCUGCUGGUUUUGACAAGAAUGCUGAGGCUGUUGAAGGUUUACUUGGACUUGGUUUUGGUUUUGUGGAGGUUGGCUCUGUAACUCCUGUUCCCCAGGAAGGCAAUCCUAAGCCUCGUAUAUUCAGAUUGCCUAAGGAAGGUGCAAUUAUUAAUAGGUGUGGCUUUAAUAGCGAGGGAAUUGUUGCUGUUGCGAAGAGAUUGGGAGCUCAGCAUGGGAAGAGGAAAUUGGAAACAUCAAACACUUCAUCUUCUACUGAAGAUGAUGUAAACCAUGGAGGCAAAGCUGGUCCUGGAAUUCUUGGGGUCAACAUUGGAAAGAAUAAGACCAGUGAAGAUGCUGCGGCAGAUUACGUUCAAGGUGUCCAUACAUUGUCCCAGUAUGCUGAUUACUUGGUGAUUAAUAUAUCAUCCCCAAACACUCCUGGACUCCGCCAACUGCAGGGAAGGAAACAGUUGAAGGACCUUGUUAAGAAGGUUCAAGCUGCUCGUGAUGAAAUGCAAUGGGGUGAGGAAGGGCCACCCCCAUUGCUAGUGAAAAUUGCACCAGAUCUUUCCAGACAAGAUCUAGAAGAUAUUGCAGCGGUUGCUCUUGCUCUCCGCUUGGAUGGAUUGAUUAUAUCAAAUACAACAGUUCAAAGACCUGAUCCUGUGAAUAAGAACCCUGUGGCACAAGAAUCCGGUGGCUUGAGCGGGAAACCACUCUUUAACUUAUCCACUAAUAUCCUGAAGGAGAUGUAUAUUCUAACAAAGGUGCCCAAUUGAUGUACUUCGUUUGAUGCAAUGAAAUAUUUUGUGAAGUACUUUUACUUAGACCCUCAAUCACGUUAGCAAAUUGACUUCUGCACUAUCUCGGUUAUCAUGAAUCUGGUACCAGGGGAAGAUUCCUUUAAUUGGCUGUGGAGGGAUUGGCAGUGGUGAGGAUGCAUAUGAGAAAAUUCGAGCAGGCGCAUCUCUUGUUCAGCUUUAUACAGCUUUUGCAUAUGGUGGACCUGCACUUAUACCUCAAAUGAAGGCUGAACUUGCUCAAUGCUUGGAAAGAGAUGGUUACAAUUCUAUCUAUGAGGCUGUUGGCGCAGAUUGUAGAUAGUUUUCUUGUAACUUACCCAGUUACACAUGCCACAGAGAGUCAAGCUACCUCUUCCUGGAAGACCCUUGGUGCUUUUUAAUUCAAGGGGAGGAUAUUUGACAGCACGGUCAUCCUGAUUCGUAUAGAAGAGACCUUUAGCAGUGGCUAGAAUUUUGCUGCUGAGCGAGACAUCAAGAAGGCAUUUUCAUUUGUCAGAAUUCUUAUUAUACCGAUAAAACAGGAAAUCUUUCUUACAAACCAAAGUGAUUGCCAGCAUUGCUUUGACAAUUUUGAUUAGGUUCUAGUUACGUUUUCAAUGCUAAAGCAUUUUUUUUCCCACAGAUAGGGGCUGUUAGGCUUGUGUCGGGGGUUUUGAGUGUUUAUUUUUACUUUUAUUAUUAUUUUGGGACCUCUCCUUGGCAGCUGCUGUAAACCUUUAUUUAUUUUUAUUUUUAUUUUUUUUGGCUAUUUUGUAUUCUGGAAGAGAAUAAAAUGUUGUUCACCUUAUCUCAUUAAAAGUAAAUGGAUGAAAUCCUGUCUUUGAAGCU